rnacentral:rRNA from 1 species
CAAUAGCGUAUAUUAAAGUUGUUGCAGUUAAAAAGCUCGUAGUUGGAUUUCUGGUAGGAGUGACAGUUCCGAACUUGAUUGUUCGUGUAUUGUGUUUUCUCCAGCCAUCCUUGUGGAGAACUUUUCUUGCAUUAAUUUGUAGGGAUUGGGACCCGCAUCGUUUACUGUGAAAAAAUUAGAGUGUUUAAAGCAGGCAAUCGCUUGAAUACAUUAGCAUGGAAUAAUAAGAUAGGACUUUGGUACUAUUUUGUUGGUUUGCAUACCAAAUUAAUGAUCAACAGGAACAGUUUGAGGAUAUUCGUAUGAACAUGUCAGAGGUGAAAUUCUUGGAUUUUGAUCAGACGAACUACUGCGAAAGCAUUUAUCAAGGAUGUUUUCAUUAA